rnacentral:tRNA from 1 species
GGGUAGGUAGAUAAGUGGUUAAAAUGGCUUGACUGUAAAUCAAGUAGGUCUUCCUUUCGUUGGUUCGAAUCCAACCCUGCCCA